AAUAAACCCCUAUGUCAGUUUUGUUUUUCUACUCAACGUUAUACAUUUUAUACGUACAAUUUUUAAACGUAACCAUAGGGAAAUAAGUUCGAUGAAAAUAGCUAAGAACAUCCAUGGAUGCUAAUAUUUACAAGGUGAAAUUUCUAUGGGUCAUCGACGUAGUUUUGGUCAAUAUCUGUCUUAUGACAAUUGAUUGCCAGUCAGG